UACGUAGGGUGCGAGCGUUGUCCGGAAUUAUUGGGCGUAAAGAGCUUGUAGGCGGUUUGUCGCGUCUGCCUGUCGAAAAUCCGGGGCUCACCCCGGACUUGCAGUGGGUACGGGCAGACUGGAGUGUGGUAGGGGAGACGUGGAAUUCCUGGUGUAGCGGUGGAAUGCGCAGAUAUCAGGAGGAACACCGAUGGCGAAGGCAGGUCUCUGGGCCACUACUGACGCUGAGACGCGAAAGCGUGGGGAGCGAACAGG
rnacentral:rRNA from 1 species